rnacentral:rRNA from 1 species
GACGAACGCUGGCGGCGUGCUUAACACAUGCAAGUCGAACGGUAAGGCCCUUCGGGGUACACGAGUGGCGAACGGGUGAGUAACACGUGGGUGAUCUGCCCUGCACUUCGGGAUAAGCCUGGGAAACUGGGUCUAAUACCGGAUAGGACCACUGCCUGCAUGGGUGGUGGUGGAAAGCUUUUGCGGCGUGGGAUGGGCCCGCGGCCUAUCAGCUUGUUGGUGGGGUGAUGGCCUACCAAGGCGACGACGGGUAGCCGGCCUGAGAGGGUGACCGGCCACACUGGGACUGAGAUACGGCCCAGACUCCUACGGGAGGCAGCAGUAGGGAAUAUUGCACAAUGGGCGAAAGCCUGAUGCAGCAACACUGCGUGAAGGAAGACGGCCUUCGGGUUGUAAACUUCUUUUAUCUGGGAAUAAUCUUGAAGGUACCAGAUGAAUAAGCACCGGCUAACUACGUGCCAGCAGCCGCGGUAA